rnacentral:rRNA from 1 species
GAUGAACGCUGGCGGCGUGCCUAAUACAUGCAAGUCGAGCGAACAGAUAAGGAGCUUGCUCCUUUGACGUUAGCGGCGGACGGGUGAGUAACACGUGGGUAACCUACCUAUAAGACUGGAAUAACUCCGGGAAACCGGGGCUAAUGCCGGAUAACAUUUAGAACCGCAUGGUUCUAAAGUGAAAGAUGGUUUUGCUAUCACUUAUAGAUGGACCCGCGCCGUAUUAGCUAGUUGGUAAGGUAACGGCUUACCAAGGCAACGAUACGUAGCCGACCUGAGAGGGUGAUCGGCCACACUGGAACUGAGACACGGUCCAGACUCCUACGGGAGGCAGCAGUAGGGAAUCUUCCGCAAUGGGCGAAAGCCUGACGGAGCAACGCCGCGUGAGUGAUGAAGGUCGUCGGAUCGUAAAACUCUGUUAUUAGGGAAGAACAAAUGUGUAAGUAACUGUGCACGUCUUGACGGUACCUAAUCAGAAAGCCACGGCUAACUACGUG